rnacentral:rRNA from 1 species
CUUGCUCUUCUUGGAUGAGUUGCGAACGGGUGAGUAACGCGUAGGUAACCUGCCUUGUAGCGGGGGAUAACUAUUGGAAACGAUAGCUAAUACCGCAUAACAAUGGAUGACACAUGUCAUUUAUUUGAAAGGGGCAAUUGCUCCACUACAAGAUGGACCUGCGUUGUAUUAGCUAGUAGGUGAGGUAACGGCUUACCAAGGCGACGAUCAGUAGCCGGACUGAGAGGUUGAUCGGCCACAUUGGGACUGAGACACGGUCCAAACUCC